rnacentral:rRNA from 1 species
GCGCGAAAACUUUACAAUGCCGGCAACGGCGAUAAGGGAACCUCGAGUGCCAGGUUACAAAUCUGGCUGUCGCGAUGCCUAAAAAGCAUUGCAUAGCAAGGGCCGGGCAAGACCGGUGCCAGCCGCCGCGGUAACACCGGCGGCUCGAGUGGUAACCGUUAUUAUUGGGUCUAAAGGGUCUGUAGCCGGCCGGAUAAGUCUCUUGAGAAAUCUGGCCGCUCAACGGUCAGGCGUUCAGGGGAUACUGUCUGGCUCGAGACCGGGAGAGGUGAGAGGUACCUCAGGGGUAGGGGUGAAAUCUUGUAAUCCUUGAGAGACCACCAGUGGCGAAGGCGUCUCACCAAAACGGAUCUGACGGCAAGGGACGAAAGCUAGGGGCACGAACCGGAUUAGAUACCCGGGUAGUCCUAGCCGUAAACGAUACUCGCUAGGUGUCGGCCACGGUGCGACCGUGGUCGGUGCCGUAGGGAAGCCGUGAAGCGAGCCACCUGGGAAGUACGGCCGCAAGGCUG